AAAAUUGAGCUCUCUGUGCAGCCACAGGUGAACACAGAUCUGACUGCAUGCCUGCAAAAAAACUGUCACAGAGAUGUCUCUAUACUGAAUGCCAGAGUGGGUUAGAGAACACGCCUCUGGCUAUGUCAACAGAGAUUAUUCACCUUUCCCACAACGGUAGUACAAUCAAGUCAGUCGAUCUCAUCUUCAUGAGACUCUGGAUCUACAGCCAUCAUUUCUAAAACAAAUGCAAACGAAGGUAUAUUUUGGGGUGAGCAAAGGAGCUUUCUCUGUGUGGGGUAUCAUGUCUGGGAAACCUGACGUUGUUUGUGUAGAAGGCUCAUAAAGUUCCUGUAAAGAAUUCUGAUCAAGACUCCGAAAAUUUAUCUGGAAGAGAAUCUUAAUUCGCCAUCAAGAAGACAUUCCUUUUUAUGGUUCAAAUGAUGAAAUGGACACUAAGGAAAUUUUCCAUUUUUGCAGAAAAAGUAUUCUGUGUUAAUGGAACCGGAGGAAACCACAUGGCUUUGGUCAGCUGCAUCAGUUCUUAAAUGCCAGAGAAUGUGCAGAUGUUUUCCAAAUGUUCUUUAAUAUGGAAGGACAAUGA
rnacentral:lncRNA from 1 species